rnacentral:lncRNA from 1 species
CGGGUAUUUUAAGGUUGAAAAGGUUCUCAUGGAACUGUUGUGUCAUCGACAUACUUUCUAUCCUGUUUCUCUUUCAGUUCUUUAGUUCUGUAAAUAAUUUUUACCCCCUAAAGACACAGAAAGUCAGUGCUUAGAUAAUGCAAAGAAAUAAGACAUGAUAUGGGAUAGAAAUUACUUGUUUACCUGAAUAGAUUCAAGAACAGAGGUGACAGCUGGCUUUGCAGCCUCUCCUUCAACUAAUAGAAAGAAAUGUGAAACACCAAUGACAUUGUGAUAAUACAACCAUGGAAGAAUCUGGUGUAGGCCAGCAGAUGUGCUUCCCGUGAUACAGAUCUGCAAUCCAAGAUACAGGAUAAGCUGAAUAUAGGUACAGUUUGGGUUCAAAAUGUGAACAAGAUUAUUGCAAAACAAAAGAAAAAAAGAAAAAGAGGGGACAAGGUUUUAAGGUUGAAAUGAAAAAAUGGUAUUGUUGGAUCAUGGCAAGUGUUCGCGAGUGAGGCUUCUCAACAAACAUUUUAAGAUCACAGGAAUGUUAUAUAUCUUGUUUUCCCAAGUUCCUACCUUAAUAACAAGGUAAACUAAUAUGCUUGGAUUCAUGCUGUUGCCAAAACUCUUGUGUAUAUGAAUGUGAUGAUACAACAUCUCCAUAUUGUGCAAUCAUGAUUGUACAAACAAGGAAUUUCUACAUAUACUGCAGCUACGGUUGCUCAUGCAAGGGAACUUUCACUUGAAUGCUACGACCUGCACUGCACAAUUUACCGAACAUAGAACGAGCGCUAGUGGGGAGGAGGCAACUGUUGCUUCAACGCGCAAGCAGAAUCGCGGCACCACACGUGGGGAUCCGGCUGCCUAGUGGGGAGGAGGCCGUGCGGGGAGAGAAGCCUGCUCGUCGCCUCCUCGAGAGGGCGACGACGGAGAUAACCAGAUCUUGGGAUUUGGGGUUGGUGGGGAGAUGGGGACGCGACGAGAGGUGAUCGCGACAAGAACCUCCGUCCCCAUCUCAAGCCUGCUCGUCGCCCAUUGUGACCAGAUCUCUACGAUCUUCGAGUCGGCCAGCUGCACGUACCCGUAGGAGACGAGCUUGGACUCGGCGGCCGCAUCCCCGAG